CCUACGGGAGGCUGCAGUGGGGGAUAUUGGACAAUGGGGGGGAACCCUGAUCCAGCGACGCCGCGUGAGUGAAGAAGUAUUUCGGUAUGUAAAGCUCUGUCAGCAGGGAAGAAAGCAAUGACGGUACCUGACCAAGAAGCCCCGGCUAACUACGUGCCAGCAGCCGCGGUAAUACGUAGGGGGCAAGCGUUAUCCGGAAUUACUGGGUGUAAAGGGAGCGUAGACGGCUGUGCAAGUCUGGAGUGAAAGGCGGUGGCCCAACCCCCGGACUGCUCUGGAAACUGUAUGGCUGGAGUGCAGGAGAGGUAAGCGGAAUUCCUAGUGUAGCGGUGAAAUGCGUAGAUAUUAGGAGGAACACCAGUGGCGAAGGCGGCUUACUGGACUGUAACUGACGUUGAGGCUCGAAAGCGUGGGGAGCAAACAGGAUUAGAUACCCGAGUAGUC
rnacentral:rRNA from 1 species